rnacentral:ncRNA from 1 species
GAGAUACCAUAGAGGAGAGAACGCUAGCACUCCCCUUGUUAAGGAUGGAAGAGGUCCUACUGGCCUUUACAACACAUAUACAGUUAAGGCAGUUCUGUACAACAUACAGCCCAUGGACCACUUUGA